CUCGUAGGCGGCCAACUAAAGUCAGACGUGAAAUCCCUCGGCUUAACCGGGGAACUGCGUCUGAUACUGGAUGGCUCGAAUCCGGGAGAGGGAUGCGGAAUUCCAGGUGUAGCGGUGAAAUGCGUAGAUAUCUGGAGGAACACCGGUGGCGAAGGCGACAUCCUGGACCGGUAUUGACGCUGAGUGAGCGAAAGCCAGGGAGCAAACG
rnacentral:rRNA from 1 species